rnacentral:rRNA from 1 species
GAGGUUUGUGACUGAGUGGCGGACGGGUGAGUAACGCGUGGGUAACCUGCCUCAUACAGGGGGAUAACAGUUAGAAAUGACUGCUAAUACCGCAUAAGACCACAGAGCCGCAUGGCUCAGUGGGAAAAACUCCGGUGGUAUGAGAUGGACCCGCGUCUGAUUAGGUAGUUGGUGGGGUAACGGCCUACCAAGCCAACGAUCAGUAGCCGACCUGAGAGGGUGACCGGCCACAUUGGGACUGAGACACGGCCCAAACUCCUACGGGAGGCAGCAGUGGGGAAUAUUGCACAAUGGGGGAAACCCUGAUGCAGCGACGCCGCGUGAGCGAAGAAGUAUUUCGGUAUGUAAAGCUCUAUCAGCAGGGAAGAAAAUGACGGUACCUGACUAAGAAGCACCGGCUAAAUACGUGCCAGCAACCGCGGUAAUACGUAUGGUGCAAGCGUUAUCCGGAUUUACUGGGUGUAAAGGGAGCGUAGACGGCUGUGUAAGUCUGAAGUGAAAGCCCGGGGCUCAACCCCGGGACUGCUUUGGAAACUAUGCAGCUAGAGUGUCGGAGAGGUAAGUGGAAUUCCCAGUGUAGAGGUGAAAUGCGUAGAUAUUGGGAGGAACACCAGUGGCGAAGGCGGCUUACUGGACGAUGACUGACGUUGAGGCUCGAAAGCGUGGGGAGCAAACAGGAUUAGAUACCCUGGUAGUCCACGCUGUAAACGAUGACUACUAGGUGUCGGGGAGCAA